rnacentral:rRNA from 1 species
GGGAUGGGCUGCAGCUACACAUGCAAGUCGAGCGGAUGAGAAGAGCUUGCUCUUCGAUUCAGCGGCGGACGGGUGAGUAAUGCCUAGGAAUCUGCCUGGUAGUGGGGGACAACGUUUCGAAAGGAACGCUAAUACCGCAUACGUCCUACGGGAGAAAGCAGGGGACCUUCGGGCCUUGCGCUAUCAGAUGAGCCUAGGUCGGAUUAGCUAGUUGGUGGGGUAAUGGCUCACCAAGGCGACGAUCCGUAACUGGUCUGAGAGGAUGAUCAGUCACACUGGAACUGAGACACGGUCCAGACUCCUACGGGAGGCAGCAGUGGGGAAUAUUGGACAAUGGGCGAAAGCCUGAUCCAGCCAUGCCGCGUGUGUGAAGAAGGUCUUCGGAUUGUAAAGCACUUUAAGUUGGGAGGAAGGGCAGUAAGCGAAUACCUUGCUGUUUUGACGUUACCGACAGAAUAAGCACCGGCUAACUCUGUGCCAGCAGCCGCGGUAAUACAGAGGGUGCAAGCGUUAAUCGGAAUUACUGGGCGUAAAGCGCGCGUAGGUGGUUUUGUUAAGUUGAAUGUGAAAGCCCCGGGCUCAACCUGGGAACUGCAUCCAAAACUGGCAAGCUAGAGUACGGGAGAGAGGGGUGGAA